rnacentral:rRNA from 1 species
CCAAUCCUGACACAGGGAGGUAGUGACAAGAAAUAACAAUACAGGGCAUCCAUGUCUUGUAAUUGGAAUGAGUAGACUUUAAAUCACUUUGCAAGUAUCGAUUGGAGGGCAAGUCUGGUGCCAGCAGCCGCGGUAAUUCCAGCUCCAAUAGCGUAUAUUAAAGUUGUUGCGGUUAAAAAGCUCGUAGUUGGAUUUCUGCUGAGGACAACCGGUCCGCCCUCUGGGUGAGAAUCUGGCUUAGCCUUGGCAUCUUCUUGGACAACGCUACUGCACUUGACUGUGUGGUGUGGUAUCCAAGGCUUUUACUUUGAGGAAAUCAGAGUGCUUCCAGCAGGCAUAUGUCUUGAAUACAUUAGCAUGGAAUAAUAAGAUAAGACUUUGGUUUUAUUUUGUUGGUUUUUAGAACCGAGGUAAUGAUUGAUAGGGAUAGUUGGGGGCAUUUGUAUUUAACUGUCAGAGGUGAAAUUCUUGGAUUUGUUAAAGACAAGCUAUUGCGAAAGCAUUUGCCAAGGAUGUUUUCUUUGAUCAAGAACGAAAGUUAGGGGAUCGAAGACGAUCAGAUACCGUCCUAGUCUUAACCAUAAACUAUGCCGACUAGAGAUUGGAGGUCGUUAUGAACAUGAUUCCUUCAGCAUCUUAUGAGAAAUCAAAGUCUUUGGGUUCCGGGGGGAGUAUGGUCGCAAGGCUGAA